AUGAACGCUAGCGGCAGGCUUAAUACAUGCAAGUCGAGGGGCAUCAAGGUACACGAAAGUGUAUUGUUGGCGACCGGCGGACGGGUGAGUAAUAGGUAGGUAACCUACCUCAUACUGAGGCAUAGCUGGGAGAAAUUCCAGGUAAUUCCUCAUGAGGUUAUAUGACACAUGUGAUAUAAUCAAAGGGUAUCGCAAGGUACUGGUAUGAGAUGGGCUUACUGACCAUUAGCUAGUUGGUGAGAUAAGAGCUCACCAAGGCGAAGAUGGUUAGGGGUUUUGAGAGAGAGAUCCCCCACAUUGGAACUGAGAUACGGUCCAAACUCCUACGGGAGGCAGCAGUGAGGAAUAUUGGUCAAUGGACAGAAGUCUGAACCAGCCAAGUCGCGUGAAGGAAGAAGGUCUUACGGAUUGUAAACUUCUUUAGCAGGGGAAUAAAAGACGAUACGAGUUAUCGUGUUGAAAGUACUUUGCGAAAAAGGAUCGGCUAACUCCGUG
rnacentral:rRNA from 1 species